rnacentral:rRNA from 1 species
AGAGUUUGAUCCUGGCUCAGAUUGAACGCUGAUGGUAUGCUUAACACAUGCAAGUCGGGCGGCAGCGAGUUGGUAGCAAUACUGAUGUCGGCGAGCGGCGGACGGGUGAGAAACGCGUAGGAAUCUGCCUUUUAGUGGGGGACAACUUAGGGAAACUUGAGCUAAUACCGCAUAAUACCUGAGGGUUAAAGGCUUCGGCCGCUAGAAGAUGAGCCUGCGUUGGAUUAGCUAGUUGGAAGGGUAAAGGCCUCCCAAGGCGACGAUCCAUAGCUGUUCUGAGAGGAAGAUCAGCCACACUGGGACUGAGACACGGCCCAGACUCCUACGGGAGGCAGCAGUGGGGAAUAUUGGACAAUGGGGGAAACCCUGAUCCAGCAAUACCAUGUGUGUGAAGAAGGCCUUAGGGUUGUAAAGCACUUUAGUCAAUGAGGAAGGACGCGCAAGCGUCUUGACGUUAGUUGAAGAAUAAGCACCGGCUAACUCUGUGCCAGCAGCCGCGGUAAUACAGAGGGUGCAAGCGUUAAUCGGAAUUACUGGGCGUAAAGCGCACGUAGGUGGUUUCUUAAGUUAGAUGUGAAAGCCCUGGGCUCAACCUAGGAAUUGCAUUUAAUACUGGGAGACUAGAGUAUGAUAGAGGAUAGUGGAAUUUCCGGUUUAGCGGUGAAAUGCGUAGAUAUCGGAAGGAACAUCAGUGGCGAAGGCGACUAUCUGGAUUAAUACUGACACUGAGGAGCGAAAGCGUGGGGAUCAAACAGGAUUAGAUACCCUGGUAGUCCACGCUGUAAACGAUGAGUACUAGCUGUUGGCUUGACUUCGGUUGAGUUAGUAGCGUAGCAAACGCGAUAAGUACUCCGCCUGGGGAAUACGGCCGCAAGGCUAAAACUCAAAGGAAUUGACGGGGGCCCGCACAAGCGGUGGAGCAUGUGGUUUAAUUCGAUGCAACGCGAAGAACCUUACCUACCCUUGACAUCCAGAGAAUCUGUUAGAGAUAGUAGAGUGCCUUCGGGAACUCUGAGACAGGUGCUGCAUGGCUGUCGUCAGCUCGUGUCGUGAGAUGUUGGGUUAAGUCCCGUAACGAGCGCAACCCUUGUCCAUAGUUGCCAUCAUUCAGUUGGGGACUCUAUGGAGACUGCCGGUGUUAAACCGGAGGAAGGGGGACGACGUCAAGUCAUCAUGGCCCUUACGGGUAGGGCUACACACGUGCUACAAUGGUUUGUACAGAGGGAAGCGAGCGCGAGAGUGUAAGCAAAACCCAGAAAGCAAAUCGUAGUCCAGAUUGAGGUCUGCAACUCGACCUCAUGAAGUUGGAAUCGCUAGUAAUCGCGGAUCAGAAUGCCGCGGUGAAUACGUUCCCGGGCCUUGUACACACCGCCCGUCACACCAUGGGAGUGGGUUGCACCAGAAGUCAUUAGCUUAAAAAUGGGCGAUGACCACGGUGUGGUUCAUGACUGGGGUGAAGUCGGAACAAGGUAGCCGUAGGGGAACCUGCGGCUG